rnacentral:rRNA from 1 species
CCUACGGGAGGCAGCAGUGAGGAAUAUUUGUCAAUGGGCGCGAGCCUGAACCAGCCAAGUAGCGUGAAGGAUGACUGCCCUACGGGUUGUAAACUUCUUUUAUAAAGGAAUAAAGUGAGGCACGUGUGCUUUUUUGAAUGUACUUUAUGAAUAAGGAUCGGCUAACUCCGUGUCAGCAGCCGCGGUAAUACGGAGGAUUCGAGUGUUAUCCGGAUUUAUUGGGUUUAAAGGGAGCGUAGAUGGGUUGUUAAGUCAGUUGUGAAAGUUUGCGGCUUAACCGUAAAAUUGCAAUUGAUACUGGCAGCCUUGAGUACAGUUGAGAUAGGCGGAAUUCGUUGUGGAGCGGUGGAAUGCUUAGAUAUCACGAAGAACUCCGAUUGCGAAGGCAGCUUACUAAACUGCCACUGACAUUGAUGCUCGAAAGUGUGGGUAUCAAACAGGAUUAGAUACCCCGGUAGUC